rnacentral:rRNA from 1 species
AAAUUGAAGAGUUUGAUCAUGGCUCAGAUUGAACGCUGGCGGCAGGCCUAACACAUGCAAGUCGAGCGGAAACGACACUAACAAUCCUUCGGGUGCGUUAAUGGGCGUCGAGCGGCGGACGGGUGAGUAAUGCCUAGGAAAUUGCCUUGAUGUGGGGGAUAACCAUUGGAAACGAUGGCUAAUACCGCAUAAUGCCUACGGGCCAAAGAGGGGGACC